GCCCCCCUCCUCCCCCACCCACAAUGCCCCAAAAGCGACGUAGUAACACCGGUCUCCUAAGUCAUGAAAAAAAAUCAAAAAUAAAUCAUUUAUCUUUUUUUCUGUCUUGGAAUGGCCUGAGCUCGAAUUUGCAUUCCCGGAAUAAGAGGAGCGGAGAUGACCAGGAAGAUGUAACUACAUACCUCAGCAGCGAGUGGAGCUUGAAUCUAGGCUCUCAAUCCAUGGAUAAGGGCUCUACCUCUGCACCACAACAGCAUCUUGGAUUGAUUAUUUUUGAUAAGACAAUGUAAUCAACAACAGAUGCUGCCAGACGUACUGAAUUUUCCCAGGAAUUCCUGUUUUUGCUUUGAAAGUACAUCACCAAAAAUUACACUGUCAUGUCCUGUGGUGAUGAAAGGUGUAACAUUAGCACGUCCUAAUUAUUUUAUUAACAUACUGCAUCAUUCUGGUUAAUAAAGUUCCAGUUAUUAACCCUGUAAUACAAUACUGAAAAUAACAAAAAUAGAAAUUGCUGUAAGAACUCAGCAGAUCUGACAGCAUCUGUGGAGAGAAAGCAGAGUUAACAUUUCAGGUCCAAUGACCCUUCUUCAGAACUGAUUGUAGCUAGGAAAAGGUUGGUACAUGCUGAAGAUGGGGUGGGGUGAGGGCCAAGAAUAAAUGCUAGGCGGAGAUGGACCUCAGAGCUAGAGAAAAACAGUUGGCCAGACAAAGGAAUGGGUAAAGGCCAGGCAAGCAGAAUCAACAGCUGCUAAAA